UACGGAGGGUGCAAGCGUUAUCCGGAUUUACUGGGUUUAAAGGGUGUGUAGGCGGGUCUUUAAGUCAGUGGUGAAAUCUCCGAGCUCAACUUGGAAACUGCCAUUGAUACUAUUGGUCUUGAAUUUUGUUGAGGUAGGCGGAAUAAGUCAUGUAGCGGUGAAAUGCAUAGAUAUGACUUAGAACACCAAUUGCGAAGGCAGCUUACUAAGCAAAUAUUGACGCUGAGGCACGAAAGCGUGGGGGAUCAAACAGG
rnacentral:rRNA from 1 species